GGACAGAGAGCAGUGGAAAAUGGGCAGAAAUGAUGUCAGAGAAACGGAGCGCUCUGAUUGGAGGAGAGGCUACCGAGGAGAGCCUAUAAAACCACGAAAGUCCAUACCGGGAACAAGCAAAAGAGGAAAACGGAGGAAGAAAUUCCGAGAACUCCGUGUGGGAGUGUGCUACAGACCCACUGAUCGAAGAUGCUGGGCUGUGGAUGUGUGUUGGUCUCCUAUCUCCUUACUCUAUUCCUCAGCAGUUCCGAUGGCCUCCAAGCAACCCCAGUGACCUCCAAGUGUCCAGACUUGGCGGUGGCAGAGGACUCUCACUCAUGGAGGCCGUCUGGGGAGAGACUAGCCAGCAGGCCGACAGGCAAACUCCCAUCCCUGGACCAGACGGGGAACGCGAUCCAGACCAAGAGGAAGCGGCUGUUCCCAGGGGCUAGUGCCCCGCUGGACCGCCUGUCUGUCGGCAAUAUGGACAUUAAGGGUAAAAAGAGGAAGGAGGUGGAAUCGCCAAGGAGGCGAGUGAGCGCCCCCAUCGACAGAAUUGGGAUGGGAAGAUUCCCCAGCAGACUGGGCUGAGACACGCCCCGCCGCCCCCUACAGGGUGGCCCUUUACGAGUGGACAAGAGAUAAAGGACUACACUCUCGCACAAAAUCACUAAUUCACACAAACCCACUCCCACUCCACUCACACACCAACACACAAACCCACUCCCACUCCACUCACACACCAACACACAUCCCCACUCCCACUCCACUCACACACCAACACACAU